rfam:Firmicutes bacterium CAG:227 genomic scaffold, scf152
CGACGUAAAACGAAACAGGCAGGAAAGAGAGAAAAAUCUUUACGUGCCGGGUCACAAAAGUGACAGCAGGUGAAAAUGAAAAGCAUCUGUGGGACAGUA